AUUAGAGGAGUAUGACUUUAAAAAGGA
rnacentral:piRNA from 1 species